rnacentral:rRNA from 1 species
CGGAUGAACGCUAGCGACAGGCUUAACACAUGCAAGUCGAGGGGUAACAGGGUAGCAAUACCGCUGACGACCGGCGCACGGGUGAGUAACGCGUAUGCAACCUGCCUAUAACUGGGGAAUAGCUCCCUGAAAGGGGAAUUAACACCGCAUAAUACUAUUGAUUCGCAUGGAUUAGUAGUUAAAUGUAGCGAUACAGGUUAUAGAUGGGCAUGCGUGACAUUAGCUAGUUGGUGAGGUAACGGCUCACCAAGGCUACGAUGUCUAGGGGUUCUGAGAGGAAGGUCCCCCACACUGGUACUGAGACACGGACCAGACUCCUACGGGAGGCAGCAGUGAGGAAUAUUGGUCAAUGGGCGCAAGCCUGAACCAGCGACGCCGCGUGGGUGAUGAAGGCCUUCGGGUUGUAAAACCCUUUCGUGCGGAAAGAAUAGUCCUGUAGCGAAUAACUACGGGAUUUGACGGUACCGCAGGAAGAAGCACCGGCUAACUCCGUG